rnacentral:rRNA from 1 species
GAUGAACGCUGGCGGCGUGCCUAAUACAUGCAAGUCGAGCGAACAGACGAGGAGCUUGCUCCUCUGACGUUAGCGGCGGACGGGUGAGUAACACGUGGAUAACCUACCUAUAAGACUGGGAUAACUUCGGGAAACCGGAGCUACUACCGGAUAAUAUAUUGAACCGCAUGGUUCAAUAGUUAAAGACGGUUUUGCUGUCACUUAUAGAUGGAUCCGCGCCGCAUUAGCUAGUUGGUAAGGUAACGGCUUACCAAGGCAACGAUGCGUAGCCGACCUGAGAGGGUGAUCAGCCACACUGGAACUGAGACACGGUCCAGACUCCUACGGGAGGCAGCAGUAGGGAAUAUUCCGCAAUGGGCGAAAGCCUGACGGAGCAACGCCGCGUGAGUGAUGAAGGUCUUCGGAUCGUAAAACUCUGUUAUUAGGGAAGAACAAAUGUGUAAGUAACUAUGCACGUCUUGACGGUACCUAAUCAGAAAGCCACGGCUAACUACGUG